rnacentral:rRNA from 1 species
GNUGGUGACUACCUAAGUUGGGAUAGCCAUUAGAAUAGUGGUAUACGAAUAUGUUGCGGAUUGGUUCUGUAAAGAAAGGGUUGGCCCGCUUGGAUGGCCCGCGUCCCAUUAGCUUGUUGGUGAGGUAAGAGCCCACCAAGGCGAUGAUGGGUAGCCGGCCUGAGAGGGUGAACGGCCACACUGGGACUGAGAUACGGCCCAGNNCCUACGGGAGGCAGCAGCUAAGAAUAUUCCGCAAUGGACGAAAGNCUGACGGAGCGACGCCGCGUGGAUGACGAAGGCCGAAAGGUUGUAAAANCCUUUUGUUACUGAAGAAUAAGCGGGGGAGGGAAUGCCCCCGUGAUGACGUUAGGUAACGAAUAAGCCCCGGCUAAUUAA